GAAGGGUCUGAGCUGAGGUCCUCCUGGAGGAGGGUGGCCCUACAUCCCAUGACAGGGUCCUUCUAAGAGACAGAAGAGGAGAGACACAGACACAGAGGAGAAGCCCCAGGAAGACAGAGGCAGAGACGGGAGGGACGCGGCCACAAGCCCAGGGACGCCUGGAGCCCCCAGAAGCUGGAAGAGGCGGGAAGGACCCUCCCCUGGAGCCUCUGGAGG